ensembl:lncRNA
AAGCUGUUGUGACCUAAACCAAAGUCAAGUAGGUGAGUGUAACAUUCAUGAACGCAUGUGCUACCUAGAAUUCCAUUUUGGGGAGGGCCCGAGAACUGCACGAGACGCGUCCGCGCGCGAGAUCUAUCUCCGCUCGCUGCUGCUGCUGUCGCGCGGCACAUGACAAGCGAGUGCGCGGUGCAGAACCCAGGUGAAUGCUUUCAGGAGGCGGCGGUGACAGUCAGGACGACGCUCCCGACGAGUCAACUUGAUUACAUUUGGGCGCAUCCAAGAGAAGAAAAAACAUGCAUGUCUUCUCCGAAGAAACUUGUAUGCGGAAUCAGAACUGGACCCUAAGAUCGACAAACUUUCCUACAACUGUCAAUGCGUAGGCUACAAUCAAAACAGUGGAGAAAAAUGAGUUGAUAUAUCGCUCAAACAAUGGAAGACAAGCAGAGUGAAGACAUUUUCAGCCAGGGGUCCCAGAAGUUACUCCAGGGCAUCAUUGAACAAGACCUGCAGAAAGCUGAGCCAGCCAACACAUGGGUGUCAGUUUGCUCGUGUCGUGUAGGAGCAUUUUACGAGGUGAUGUUAAUGGGAUACAGAAAGGAGGUCCUUCUUCUGUAUGCUUCAUUUCAGGGUAUGUCAUCCCUCAGGCCUCCUGAACCUGGGCUGAGGUCAGAAACAGGAGAACCAGAUAGAUUAUCCAGACCAAAUACAAGUUGUUCACACACACACUUUAGAGACACAGAAGACUUUAAAGGUUACACAUCUUGUGGAUUCAUGUACUGGAUAAUGCAAAAAAACAGAUGUUAAUUUCUACUCAGAAAUGUUUCCUAUUGCUCUCUUGCUUGUGUGUUAGUAAUGUUAAAGAUAAUAAAAGAAGAAUUUCUGGUAUUCAUUUUAACUCCAGCCCUCACACCCACACGAGGACAACAAGUCACAUGCUUUCUCAUUUCCACCAGAAGCAACAAGUCAAACAGUCAGGAUAUCGGCUUCCAGUAUAAACUCACAUUGGAUUUGAAUCAGUCUCGUAAAUUUCAAUAAAAGUGAAUCUUUGACACUGCAUCUUUAAUUCUGUCUUCUUUUUUUUUACAGA